CCUACGGGAGGCAGCAGUGGGGAAUAUUACACAAUGGGGGAAACCCUGAUGCAGCGACGCCGCGUGAGUGAAGAAGUAUUUCGGUAUGUAAAGCUCUAUCAGCAGGGAAGAAAAUGACGGUACCUGAUUCAGAAGCCCCGGCUAACUACGUGCCAGCAGCCGCGGUAAUACGUAGGGGGCAAGCGUUAUCCGGAUUUACUGGGUGUAAAGGGAGCGUAGACGGCAGCACAAGUCUGGAGUGAAAUGCCGGGGCUUAACCCCGGAACUGCUUUGGAAACUGUGCAGCUAGAGUGCAGGAGAGGUAAGUGGAAUUCCUAGUGUAGCGGUGAAAUGCGUAGAUAUUAGGAGGAACACCAGUGGCGAAGGCGGCUUACUGGACUGUAACUGACGUUGAGGCUCGAAAGCGUGGGGAGCAAACAGGAUUAGAUACCCCGGUAGUC
rnacentral:rRNA from 1 species